rnacentral:lncRNA from 1 species
AUUAAAAGGACAUCCAUGGACAUAAAGAACGGAAUCUAGAGUGACAGAGGGUAGGGGAUUCGAUUGUCCAACUCCUUUUGCUUUAGUUUGAGACCCAUUGGCUAAAGUAACGUUGGGAAAAAACUGUGAAUACGCAAUAUUUGACAAAAGAGAUUUAUUGCCAGAGAUAUGAUCAGAAGCAGCUGAGUCCACAACCCAUUGUUCAAGAGGACUA